AUGACUAGGGAUAACCUUAGGAAGAGACACAUCAUCAAACCCCUUGAUUGUGUUUACUGCUUGGAACAAGAGUCUUGUUCUCACCUAUUUUUUGAAUAUAUAGUUGCUAAACAUCUCUAGGACCACAUUGAGGAAUAUUUCUCUAGUCAGAUUGGCUCAUCCUUCGAAUCUGUCGCCAGAUUCUGGAUUGAUACCAAAAAGUGCUCAGUUUUAAGCACUGUUAUCUCAGCUAUCCUUUGGUGCCUCUGGAAAUAUAGAAAUGCUAUGAUUUUCAGUAACACCUCCUGGAUUUCCAUUCCACAGGUCUUGAGGUUGAUCAGGAACAUGGUGAGGAACUGGGCGAUUCUAUCCUCCGGAUCGGACAAGGACAAGUUGAUGAGCUUCGUGGAAACCCUAACAAGAUCCCUCCAGAAACCAUUGGCGAUCACUUGUGGCUGA
rnacentral:rRNA from 1 species